GAUGAAGAACGUAGCGAAAUGCGAUAACUAAUGUGAAUUGCAGAAUUCAGUGAAUCAUCGAGUCUUUGAACGCACAUUGCGCCCCCUGGUAUUCCGGGGGGCAUGCCUGUCCGAGCGUCAUUGCUGCCCUCAAGCACGGCUUGUGUGUUGGGCUCCGUCCCCCCGGGGACGGGCCCGAAAGGCAGCGGCGGCACCGAGUCCGGUCCUCGAGCGUAUGGGGCUUUGUCACCCGCUCUGUAGGCCCGGCCGGCGCCAGCCGACAACCCAUCAUCCUUUUCAGGUUGACCUCGGAUCAGGUAGGGAUACCCGCUGAACUUAAGCAUAUCAAUAGGCGGAGGA
rnacentral:misc_RNA from 1 species